UACGGAGGGUGCGAGCGUUGUCCGGAAUCACUGGGCGUAAAGGGCGCGUAGGCGGCGUGUUAAGUCAGCUGUGAAAUCUCCAAGCUUAACUUGGAACGGUCAGCUGAUACUGAUGUGCUAGAGUGCAGAAGGGGCAAUCGGAAUUCUUGGUGUAGCGGUGAAAUGCGUAGAUAUCAAGAGGAACACCUGAGGUGAAGACGGGUUGCUGGGCUGACACUGACGCUGAGGCGCGAAAGCCAGGGGAGCAAACGGG
rnacentral:rRNA from 1 species